rnacentral:tRNA from 1 species
CAAAAAAUAGUUUAUUAAAAUAUUGACUUUGGAAGUUAAUGAUAUAAAUUUUAUUUAUUUUUUUGA